rnacentral:lncRNA from 1 species
GAGGGUGGGAGGGACGCGCGCGCCCGCGCGCUCCCAACGGCGGCCGGUUCAGGCUCGGCUCGGCUCACCUCAGUGCCUGCCGCCGCAGGCCAGUCGGCCGGAGGGCAGCUCCGUCCCCGCCCGGCCCCCCUGCUCGUCCCGCUCCCCAGAGCUCGGCCGCUCCUGGCACAGGCUGCGGCCCGACUGCGGCGCCAGCGGUCAGGUGACUCCCAACAACAUUACCCGCCCGCCGCCCCUGCCCCCCGCCCCCUCCCCCCCGCGCACACACCCCGCCCGCUGAUUGGACGCGGCGCUCCCCGCCGACGCGCAGCCGCCCACGCCGCUGCGCAGUGCGCAUGCGCGCCGCCGGCGGCACCCCGCCGGCAGCCGUUCCCCGGCGCAGCGCAGGGCCCUGCCGCCCGCCUCCGGCAACGGCACCGGCACCGGCAUCGGCACCAGCGGCGGCCUCCCCGCCCGCCGGAACAGCUUGAAGAGCCGUGGUGGCCGCGGCGGCUGGCUUGGGCGCUGGGCGGGCCGUUCGCCGCCUCCCUGAGGGGAAGGAGCUGAUGAUCCACACCUGCGGAGACUGGUUCUGCCAGCACUGGAGGGGAUUCACAACCUUUUUUUUAGAAACCUUUUGGAGGUGGGUUUCUCACAGUGCAAGGUAGGCACUUCUUGAAAUCACUUUCAAAGUUUAUCUCAGGAACACACUGUUUCUUUUCCCCUUUCCCUUUACAGAAUCACAGACUGGUUGAGGUUGGAAAGCACCUCUGGAGGUCAUCUGAUCCACCCCCCUGCUCAAGCAGGGCCACCUACGUCAGGCUGCCCAGGACCAUGGCUAGACGGCUUUUGAAUAUCUCCAGGGAUGGAGACUCCCAACAACCUCCCUGGGCAACCUGUGCCAGUGCUCAGUCACCCUUAUAGUAAAAACGUGUUUUCUGACCCUCCUGUGCUCCGGCUUGUGCCGAUUGCCUGUCACUGGGCACCACUGAAAAGAGCCUGUCUCCGUCAUCUUUAUACCCUCCCUUCAGAUUUGUACCUAUUGAUGAGAUUCCCCCCUCAGCCUUCCCUUAACAGGGAUGAAGUACUAAAGGAGGGCUGAAAUAGGCCAAGCUGCCUAGUCAGGGGCUAAGGUGACAUACCUACUCAGCAAAAACUUCUGGUGCUGUUCUUGCUGCUGUUGAAUGAUUACAGCACUUUUUGAGACUUGGUUUUUCUCGGGCAAACAUGUAAAUGUUGCAUUUAAUGACUGUGUCUUGGGUGUUUAUUGGAGCCUGGCUGCUGUUCCAGCCAGAGCUUACCUAGCCUGAGAGCUUCUCAAAACACCCUGCAAAAACACCUGAAAAAGUCAGUGAAGACUUAUUUAGACACCCUGGAUCAUGCAGCAGCCUACUGUUACUUUAUGCCUUGUACCAGAUUCAAUAUCCAGACUGGACAAAAGUAUCUUAGGCUUGAGUGUAGUCAUGGAAAACAGCCUGUAAGUAUGUUGGUGAUUGCUAGUUCCUAUUGCACGUUUUGCAUCUUUCCUGAAAUGAGUCCCUAUCUCUUGUUUGCAGAGCUCAUGUAGGGUCUUCAGUCCCCAGAAGAGACCAGCUGGGUUACAUGGUACUUGCUUUACCUCUCAACAAGCAUUCAGAGGGGUGAGGAAGAGGAGGGAAAGCAGAGGGCGUGAAGGGCUGCCGCUCUACCAGAAGGGUGGGAGAGAAUCAAAUUCUUGUGGGUACUUCUUUGCACACAGACUUAUUUCCUGAUAUGGAGAAUCACAAACAUGACCUUUAUUGCCCUGUGACGUGUUUUCCAACUGUUGUUUAGCUUAGGAGAUAAAUUUUCUUGUAUUCUUUCAUAUGCCACUAUGAUCUCUUUUGUCCUGUACAAAAUCCUCAUCUUUUUAUCCAUGUAGCAAAUUCUGGCUAUGCUGACUCAAACACGAUCCCAGUACAUAGCUGAUUGUACUAGGACUUUGUGCAAGACUGUUGUCUCUGGUUGGGUGUACUCCAUAGGAGGUCAAGACCCUUACAGCCUUUCUGAGAGAUGUGACCAUUUGUAGGAUCUCUGGAGCAAUAUUGUCUCUACCUGCUUUUGCCAAGCACACUGCUACUGCUGGGGCUUUAAGAGGGAGAGCUCGGCAGAGCAGUCUCCUGUUGACUAAUCUCUCAGAACACGCAGGGUCAGUUCAGGGUUUGUGAGUUGCUCGCAGGAGCAAUGUUCUCCGGAGUGUGUUGCACCUGUGUAUGUUACCUACUUCUCCUCACGUCCCUCCACCUCAGAAUGACUUGGAAAAUAUGGGAUUCUGGGGUUCAGGUGGAGUUUUGCAAGUCACGGUCAACCUGUUUACAUCUCUACGUGCAGCCAUGGCAGAGCACAGUCAUGUUUGGCCCUGAUAAGAUAUAAACCUUCAGCUCUGAGUGCUCAUUUGCAUGCCUUCCCGCCACGUGAAAGCAAGUUACUGCCUAAUAAAAUGCAAAUGCCUUGUACUUUACGACAAAUGCUGUAAAUCAGAAAUUGUGGUGAUUAUCUCACAUGAAGUCCCUGUAAGAAAGAGCAAAAUACCAAUGUUCUAGUUAAAUGCUUAUGAAUCACUACCCAGUAAAAAAUGACACCACCUGUCACGUUUCACGUACGGGCUCAGAAAAUGGGGAGAACAUACUGAACUGAGGCAGCUAGUGACUUUGUUGCACAAUGAUUAUUAUAUGACGCCAGGAGAUAUAUUACACUGCACAUUCCUUUCAGGCAGAGAAACAUAGCAGAAACUGCACAGCUGAUGUAGUGCUAGGAGAAGAAAUCUUAAAAUGAUAGUUUAAGUAACAAAACCAUUCAAUAUUUUGCAUGCGGAGAGUAGAACACAAAUUAGAUAUUUUUCUCUAUGAACUUAAUAAAUACAUACAGAAAUUAUGUGUAGGUACACAGUAGUGACUACUGCCUUAUUAAUAGAUUGUAAGGCGUAGGUAAGGAUGAACAAUCCAGGGGCGUUUUUAACAAUGUUUCUGGAACAAAGCAAUAAAUGAAACAGAAGCAUCCAGGAAUGCAAAUGAGCUGCCACUCUAGCUGGGAACGUAGGCUUUGGGAUUGGCAUUUAUAGCCUUUGUAGUAAUGUUUAUGCAAAAUUACACAACUCUAGGGUUGUGUGCUAAAUACUCCAAAGAGAGAGUAAAAUGGAAUAUGGUAUAUGCUGAGUCCUUCAUCUGCUAAGACAUUUAACAGGGUACAUGUCAAUAAGCAGAGGAGUAGUCCCACUAAGAUCUGAAUGAGCAAGCUUUUAAAAAAAUCUAUUCAAAACAUACCCUGUUCUGUUGCAUAUCAGGAAACAGGGAUAUUUUUUUUUCUCCAUCAUUUUGAUUUAUGUUAUUUUAAUACUGCUUGGCAGUUUCAUUGGUGGCAUAAUAUGAUUUAGAAGACUGAAAUAAUGUAACAGAAUGGGAAGGAAACUUCCAAGCACUGAUCUUAAAAAACAAGGAAUAGCAGAUAUUUUGUAUAAAAACAGUUUUGAGAAAAUGCUCUUGUGUAAUAAUCAAUAAUAACCAAUUUUACUGUCUUUGGAAAAUUAUUUUUUUCCCCAACUGGUCUCUAUAUAAGGCCUCUAAACCUGUGUGUCAAAGUACAUUCAGACCAGCUAAAAUGUAAACUGAUAUAUAAAUAAAACACAGUUUGAGAUUCUACCAGUUCUCUCUCUCAUUGUGCAAAUCUUGUCAUUUUGACUGAGAGAGGUCAUGUGUCAGCACUGUCAUCUUUAUUUGGAUUAGUGGCUGUUCUUCUACCAACAAGAAACUUAUAGCUGCUUUUAUAUUGUUGGCAGUUGCAUUCGUGAAGGCAUGAUGACUAAGCUUCACAUGUUUCUAUUAAUACAAAGUUGGCUGUCAUUGAUAUCAAUACUUGCUGUUGCAUAAAGCGAGAAAUACUUUAGAUAACCACUAAAAAAUUGGUAGAAACUUCUCAAAUGCACAUUGCAUUAUAGAUUUGCUUUUUAAAGUUCUCAGCUGUACAGUGCCAAGGAAGCUUAUUUCUGUCAGGACAUGAACAGCUUGCUUGUUUUUUCGUUAUUUGCCAAUCACAGUGGAAAUGAUGCAGCGCAAAAAACUGCUGACUGAAGAGUCAGUUGUAUUUUCUAGGUACUUUCUGGUUUUGAAAUAACAUUAUAGAUUAUCACAAGUGGUGCGGUUGUUUGAAUUCAACUUCUGCCAAGUUUUUGCACUGCUGAUGCCGGUAAGAAUAGAGAAAUCUACCUUAGAAGCUACCUCUGAAGUCCUAUCUUGUUAUUUUCAAUAUUAGAUAGAAAAUGAUGUUUAAAUUAAAUGUCUCAUUUAUCGUAUUUGUCAUUAAAUUCCUUAAAUGACAUUGUAUCUUAACAGUUACAUAAAGAGUACUAUUGCAUAUUGUAGAGCAGCCAUCUGCUGCUGCACGUAGCUGAUUUACUAGAACAGGGGAACAACCAGAAGGACGUGAGUUAAUGUGCACUGUCACCUGGUGCAAGUGACACAACUCCACUGGUACUAUAAAUCAGUAUACCCCCAUGAACGAUAAUAGAGAUGAUGAAUCUCUCAAUCAAGAAAGCCAGCAUUGUCAUGAGAUGAGGCCUGUGAUGGGGCUCUCUGACAAGCAAUGUACCAUCCUACAGGCCCUUAGUUGUAAUCUGAAAGCAAGUGCCCCCGCCGAGAGCUGAGCAGACUUG